rnacentral:rRNA from 1 species
UGGAUAACCUGCCCUCGGCACCGGGAUAGCCCGAGGAAACUCGGAUUAAUACCGGAUAGCCCUUCCGACUCUCGAGUCGGUCCGAAAAGGUAGCUUCGGCCUCUGGCCGAGGAUGGGUCCGCGGCGGAUUAGCUUGUUGGUGGGGUAAUGGCCUACCAAGGCAUCGAUCCGUAGCUGGUCUGAGAGGACGAUCAGCCACACUGGGACUGAGACACGGCCCAGACUCCGUACGGGAGCAG